CGUUUUCUUGUUUUUUUUUCUUGGUCAGAGAUCCCCUUUGCUCUUUCACCUUCUCUCUCACAUCAAUAUCACACGAACCGAGAAUAACCUAAUACACCACCAUCACCAACGAGAAUACGACGACGACCACCACCACCAUCCACCAUUAGAAAGAGAUGGGUGACCUCACGGAUUCUGUUACGCAGUCCACCACCCCUCACUCACGACCGUUGCCUAUCCGUGAGGAUUGCUGGAGCGAGGAGGCUACCUCUACUCUUGUCGAAGUUUGGGGCAAAAGGUAUUUGGAGCUCAACCGAGGUAAUCUCC
rnacentral:misc_RNA from 1 species